GACGAACGCUGGCGGCGUGCCUAAUACAUGCAAGUCGAACGCAUUUUCUUUCACCGUAGCUUGCUACACCGAAAGAAAAUGAGUGGCGAACGGGUGAGUAACACGUGGGUAACCUGCCCAUCAGCGGGGGAUAACACUUGGAAACAGGUGCUAAUACCGCAUAAUUCCAUUUACUGCAUGGUAGAUGGAUGAAAGGCGCUUUUGCGUCACUGAUGGAUGGACCCGCGGUGCAUUAGCUAGUUGGUGGGGUAACGGCCUACCAAGGCUGCGAUGCAUAGCCGACCUGAGAGGGUGAUCGGCCACACUGGGACUGAGACACGGCCCAGACUCCUACGGGAGGCAGCAGUAGGGAAUCUUCGGCAAUGGACGCAAGUCUGACCGAGCAACGCCGCGUGAGUGAAGAAGGGUUUCGGAUCGUAAAACUCUGUUGUUAGGAAAGAACAAGGAUGAGAGUGGAAAGUUCAUCCCUUGACGGUAUCUAACCAGAAAGCCACGGCUAACUACGUG
rnacentral:rRNA from 1 species